rnacentral:misc_RNA from 1 species
AACGCAAAUUGCGCCUGAGGCUUCGGCCAAAGGCAUGUCUGCCUCAGCGUCGGCUCACUCUCUCACCCUCCCUAUUGGUUGGGUGGAUUUGACCUUUCCGUUUGCGCCCUUGGCACGAUCGGAUCGGUUGAAGCAAAGUGGUUUGAACAUGGACCCCGUUGUAGGGCAAUGGCUUGGUAGGUAGGCUUUCCUACACAACCUGCCGUUGUCCGAGGGGUGCUUGUUGGGGGCCUAGCAGGAACAUCGAGACGGCAUCCGCCUUCUCGAGAACCAAACCUUUCGACCUGAGCUCAGGCAAGAUUACCCGCUGAACUUAA